rnacentral:rRNA from 1 species
CGCGUAGGUGGCCGAGCAAGGUCGCGGUGAAAGCCCGGGGCUCAACCCCGGGUCGGCCGUGGCAACUACUCGGCUUGAGCACUGUAGGGGCGGGUGGAAUUCCGGGUGUAGCGGUGGAAUGCGUAGAGAUCCGGAAGAACACCGGUGGCGAAGGCGGCCCGCUGGGCAGGAAGACGGGCGCAAGUCCGUCGGCUGACACUGAGGCGCGACAGCGUGGGGAGCAAACAGGAUUAGAUACCCUGGUAGUCCACGCCGUAAACGAUGGGCACUAGGUGCUUGGGGGAGCGACCCUCCGAGUGCCGGCGCUAACGCAUUAAGUGCCCCGCCUGGGGAGUACGGCCGCAAGGCUGAA